rnacentral:rRNA from 1 species
UACGUAGGGGGCAAGCGUUGUCCGGAAUUAUUGGGCGUAAAGAGCGUGUAGGCGGCCAGAUAAGUCCGCUGUGAAAUCUCGAGGCUCAACUUCGAGCUGUCGGUGGAAACUGUCUGGCUAGAGUCCGGAAGAGGAGAAUGGAAUUCCUGGUGUAGCGGUGAAAUGCGCAGAUAUCAGGAGGAACACCAAUGGCGAAGGCAGCUCGCUGGGACGGUACUGACGCUGAGACGCGAAAGCGUGGGGAGCAAACAGG